CCUACGGGUGGCAGCAGUGAGGAAUAUUGGUCAAUGGGCGCUAGCCUGAUCCAGCCAAGCCGCGUGAAGGAUGACUGCCCUCUGGGUUGUAAACUUCUUUUAUCUGGGAGUAAAGUGCAGUAUGUAUACUGUUUUUCAUUUACCUUAUGAAUAAGGAACGGAUAACUCCGUUCCAGCAGCCGCGGUAAUACGGAGGGUCCGAGCGUUAUCCGGAUUUAUUGGGUUUAAAGGGAGCGUAGGCGGGUUGUUAAGUCAGUUGUGAAAGUUUGGGGCUCAACCGUACAAUUGCAGUUGAUACUGGCAUCCUUGAGUACAGUAGAGGUAGGCGGAAUGCGUGGUGUAGCGGUGAAAUGCUUAGAUAUCACGAAGAACUCCGAUUGCGAAGGCAGCCUGCUGGACUGUAACUGACGCUGAGGCUCGAAAGUGUGGGUAUCAAACAGGAUUAGAUACCCGUGUAGUC
rnacentral:rRNA from 1 species